GAUGAAGAACGUAGCGAAAUGCGAUAAGUAGUGUGAAUUGCAGAAUUCAGUGAAUCAUCGAAUCUUUGAACGCACAUUGCGCCCCUUGGUAUUCCGAGGGGCAUGCCUGUUCGAGCGUCAUAUUAACCACUCCCGCUUGCGGGGUCUUGGGCUUCGCCUCCGGGCGGGCCUUAAAAUCAGUGGCGGUGCCGUCGGGCUCUACGCGUAGUAAAUUUUCUCGCGAUAGGGUCCCGGUGGAUGCUUGCCAACAACCCCCAACUUCUUAAGGUUGACCUCGGAUCAGGUAGGGAUACCCGCUGAACUUAAGCAUAUCAAUAAGCGGAGGA
rnacentral:misc_RNA from 1 species